rnacentral:rRNA from 2 species
UACGUAGGUGGCAAGCGUUGUCCGGAUUUAUUGGGUUUAAAGGGUGCGUAGGUGGUCUAUUAAGUCAGUGCUGAAAUAUCCCGGCUUAACCGGGAGGGUGGCAUUGAUACUGAUGGACUUGAGUAGAGUUGAGGUAGGCGGAAUUGACGGUGUAGCGGUGAAAUGCUUAGAUAUCGUCAAGAACACCUAUUGCGAAGGCAGCUUACUAAGCUCUAACUGACACUGAGGCACGAAAGUGUGGGGAUCAAACAGG